GCCAAUGGCAGGUGCAUUCCUUGAGCUCGCAAACAAGUGAGAUGCGGACAGUAUAUUAUCGAUUGCACUACAAUUUUGUUGAUUUGAUUCUUCAUGCUUCUGAUAUUGUUUUCGGUGCAAAUGUUUUUUACAAUAUAAUUGUAUAGAAAUAAUUCGUAUCUGAUAUAAAAUGCUGUUUUAUAAACUGAACGUGCUUUCUGUUUUACUUUAUUGCUUUUAUACAGUUAAUUGUUUAGUUGAUCCAUUAAGCCUAGGUCUAUUGGGAGCAACAAUCUCAACAUUAUAUCUUUGGUUAUCCUCAGAAGACAGAAGUAAUUUUGGAUGUAAACUUUUUAAAUAUGUUGGCCAGAAAAUUGGAUAUUGUGAAGGAUGUGAGGAUUAUUGGAUUACUGAUAACCUCAAUGAUUUGGAAUAUGAAAUGAAAAGCUCUGUUUAUGGACAGCCAUUGGCUGUAGACAUAAUAAUGAGUGCAAUGAGAAAUCAUCUGCGUAGAGAUGUAGAGCCUGACAGAGCUUUAAUGCUGAGCUUUCAUGGAAGUCCUGGUACUGGAAAAAAUUUUAUAGCUCAGAUGAUUCUCAAGAAUAUGUUUAGAAUGGGAGCGAAAUCAGAAUACACAAUAUUUUUUAGAAGCAGCAUUGACUUUCCUUUAAAGUCAAAAAUAGAUGAAUACAAAAGGGAUAUUGUACAAAGGAUAAAGGAUAAGGUUUACGAAUGUCAUCGUUCUAUAUUUGUUUUUGAUGAGGUAGAAAAAAUGCCUAAUGGUUUAUUAGAAGUCUUAAGUGGUGUUGUAACGAUUGGAGUGCACCGAGAAUAUGAUUUCAGAAAAUCUAUAUUCAUAUUGCUAAGCAAUAUUGGAAGUGAUAUUUUAGUGCGUGAAACUUUAAAGGAAGUGAGAUUGAGUGGUAACAGAGAGAACAUGGAGGCAGCUAGAUUACACAGAUUGUUGGCAGCAGUUUCAUUUAACAGUGAAGGAGGAUUCAAGAAAUCAGGGUUGGUUAAAAGGUUUGGUAUCUCACAUUAUGUGCCAUUCCUGCCUCUAGAAAGUGAUCACGUCAUACAGUGCCUGGUGAGAGAAGUGGUUGGGCUAGGUCAGGUCAUUUCCAACGAACUUAUUAAGGAAGGAUGGUAGUUUUUAUCUUAUUUGUCAACAUCCCUAAUAUUGUACUGUACAAAAUUAUGGUUUUCAAUGUAUGCUUCGGGUUCUCCAUGCUUUGUGGUACCACAUCUUCAAAGCUGGCCUUUCAUGACAGGUUGAAAGCAUUCAGACAUCUUUCCAUUUCAAGUCAAGUUUUAGAAGAGAUAACAUUUAAACCAGACGAUAAUCCAAUAUUUUCUGCUGGAGGUUGUAAAGGAAUUAAAGAAGCAGCAGUAGUGUUAAUUGAAAGAGAAUUAAAAAGGAAACGAAGAUCACAAA